rnacentral:lncRNA from 1 species
CAACAAUAAUGCAUUAUCAACAGUGACGUACAAUAAUUUCCUAUCUUAUAGUAGUAGUCGGUCCUUUCUUUACAUCAAAUUUUUAUAAAUGGAAACAAAUGCUAAAAAAAUAACCCACAUAUUUUUACCAUCUAGACAUUAUUUAUGAGAUACGUAGUUCCGUGAGCUUAAUUCGGUCGAUAAUGACAUUGCAUUAACUCUAUCAAGAUGAUUGAUUAUAAAAAAAAAAAAACUCUAUCAAGAUGAUUAUGUGAUCAUCAUUAUCAUAAAGUAUAUACAAAU